AGCAGUACAAAACUCAGUAAGACAACACAUAGCAGUCAUACAAAUUCGUCUGGAGUAGUUUAUGAUGGAAGAACACCAGUUAAGGCAAAUGUCAUCAUUUCUUCAUCCAUCCAGUGUGACAGAGACACCACACAGAGAGCCACUCCUUUACAUCUCCUCCACAGUGGAUGGUAACAUCAUAGCUGUUGGCCAAGAUGGGUUGGUUUCCAUAUGGAGCAUGAACUUAAAACUGAAAAAAAGCUCUCUUAUACUUGAUGAAAAUGAAAACAAACGUCAAAGAAGGAAGACAAAGUGGGCUUCCGACUCUAUUUUAAUGCCGCAUUACAACAAGCUAAUUAUU